rnacentral:miRNA from 14 species
UUCUACUCAAAAUGCAGCUUCCUGGGCUCUGCCCCAACCUACUCACCCAGAUUUCCAGGAGCUGGGGCCCAGGAAUCUGCAUUUUUAAACCAUACCCACCCCC